UACGUAGGGUGCAAGCGUUAAUCGGAAUUACUGGGCGUAAAGCGUGCGCAGGCGGUUAUGCAAGACAGAUGUGAAAUCCCCGGGCUCAACCUGGGAACUGCAUUUGUGACUGCACAGCUUGAGUGCGGCAGAGGGGGAUGGAAUUCCGCGUGUAGCAGUGAAAUGCGUAGAUAUGCGGAGGAACACCGAUGGCGAAGGCAAUCCCCUGGGCCUGCACUGACGCUCAUGCACGAAAGCGUGGGGAGCAAACAGG
rnacentral:rRNA from 1 species